rnacentral:rRNA from 1 species
AACGAACGCUGGCGGCAGGCUUAACACAUGCAAGUCGAACGCCCCGCAAGGGGAGUGGCAGACGGGUGAGUAACGCGUGGGAACGUGCCCUUCGCUUCGGAAUAGCCCCGGGAAACUGGGAGUAAUACCGGAUACGCCGUAUUGGGAAAGAUUUAUCGGCGAAGGAUCGGCCCGCGUUAGAUUAGCUAGUUGGCGGUGUAAUGGACCACCAAGGCUACGAUCUAUAGCUGGUCUGAGAGGAUGAUCAGCCACACUGGGACUGAGACACGGCCCAGACUCCUACGGGAGGCAGCAGUGGGGAAUCUUGGACAAUGGGCGCAAGCCUGAUCCAGCCAUGCCGCGUGAGUGAAGAAGGCCUUAGGGUUGUAAAGCUCUUUUGCCGGGGACGAUAAUGACGGUACCCGGAGAAUAAGUCCCGGCUAACUUCGUGCCAGCAGCCGCGGUAAU